rnacentral:tRNA from 1 species
UUGGAUUUAAACCCCAUUUAUAAAGAAGACCUUUUUUUAGAA